rnacentral:rRNA from 1 species
GACGAACGCUGGCGGCGUGCCUAAUACAUGCAAGUCGAACGAACCGCGACUAGGUGCUUGCACUUGGUCAAGGUGAGUGGCGAACGGGUGAGUAACACGUGGGUAACCUACCUCAUAGUGGGGGAUAACAGUCGGAAACGACUGCUAAUACCGCAUAGGACAUAGGAUCACAUGAUUCUGUGAGGAAAGGUGGCGCAAGCUAUCGCUAAGAGAUGGACCCGCGGUGCAUUAGCUAGUUGGUAGGGUAAAGGCCUACCAAGGCGAUGAUGCAUAGCCGACCUGAGAGGGUGAUCGGCCACAUUGGGACUGAGACACGGCCCAAACUCCUACGGGAGGCAGCAGUAGGGAAUCUUCCGCAAUGGACGCAAGUCUGACGGAGCAACGCCGCGUGAGUGAAGAAGGUCUUCGGAUCGUAAAGCUCUGUUGUUAGAGAAGAACAGCGCAUGGAGUAACUGUUAUGCGUGUGACGGUAUCUAACCAGAAAGCCACGGCUAACUACGUG